rnacentral:snoRNA from 1 species
UUCCUUAUGAUGUUAAAUUUUCACUGAUUCCAUGCGCUUAUUACACUCUAUUUUUGAGUUGAGUUAACUGGAAAGCAAACAGGAUGUCGCGUUAAGCGAGGCAUUUGUCUGAUGGGAAG